rnacentral:lncRNA from 1 species
GUUCAGCGUUGCAGAUGGGAUGGACACAGAGUGCAGGAGCAAACCACCAAAUAGUAAAUCAGUGUGACUGAGACACAUAAUACCACUCCUUCCCAGUGGCAGUGUCUAUGCAAAAUGGGUUGUGGCAAUUCCUCAGUCGCCAGCACCUCAGGAGGGGGACCUGCAGAAACCUCCAAAGAUUUGUAAGUACAGCAGAGAGAGAGAGAGAGACUAAAUUCAAAAUGGGCUAUUACACUGGCCUUAUGGAUAUUACAUUGCAAGACCUCAAAACACCUACUGUCAUGUAAUCAAAUUAAAAUGUUCAGUCUUUUGUAUCAAGGCCUUCAAAUAUUUUGCCUAUAGCAUAUUAAUGUGUAGAGAAAUGAAUACAUGUUCCAGAACUGCUAUUACAAUGAAUUAGUCCUGUUCAGUAAAUCAAAGGAACAGUCAUUUUCCAUUCAAGGCAAAUUGCAUGAAUUAUGUUAUAAAGGGAACAUACGUCUUCACUAGGCACGGUGAGCCACCUCCAUCAUCGUGGCGUGGGAAGGGAGAGCAGGCACCCAUUUCCAAAACAUUUUCUUGAAUCAACUUGUGUGUGUGUGUGGUGUGUGUGCUUUCUGAUAAACAUCUGAGCAGCUACAGUGCUUAAUCCAGGACCAAUGGGGACUGACAGCAGCACACUGCCAACCACGGCCAGUCAGUCACACAGCUCCCCAGGGUUCAGCACUGCAACACAACACACCUCUAGUCCUGCUACACAGACACUUUGACUGGCAGUUCAUGUGUACACUUAUUUUUUCAUGCCUCUUCUAUGGACAGAGAAGAAAGGACAGAUGAGUCCUCACCAGACGAUGAGAAAAGAAGGAACUAUGGCGGGGUGUACGUAGGUCUACCAUCUGACAUGACCACCGUUGCAGGCAGCCAGUCCAAGUCCACAGACAAAAGUAAAUAUGACAUCUAUGUCUACUGUACAGCGUCUGUGUAGUAGGGAUGUGAGGAUGAUUGGACAGGAUGGUCAUCAGUGGAUAGUCAUUGCAAUACAAUUGGUUGUAACGUAGUUGUCAAGUUUUCUACUUGUGUUGACUGUACGGGACAUAUCAGAUGAUCUACCCGUCCUGGACAUGGACACACCCCUCCCCCUUUGCUAUAAAGUAUUGCGUUGUCUGCUGCGUUGAUGCCCAGAAUAGACUAAUUGAUUCCACCAUUAUGUGAUUUCAGUACAGCCUCCAAUCGCUGUCCUUCGAUUAACCAUGGCUUUACAGUAAAAGAGACAACAUCAAGCAAAAAAGGAAAUACUGUACAUGAAAGUCCCUUGAAGACUACAUCUUUCUACCGAUGGACAGUUUUUGUUCUCCGUGUUCAAAGAAAACCCCCACGUCAUCUUCAAACAAAAGUUGGUCUCGGUCAUAAAGGGAGUAGAGAGGAAAAGUUUAGUGUGUGUGUGUGUGAGGGCUGUUUGCACUGAGAUCCUACAAAGCCGUUCUCUAUGACUGCCUGUUGGCCAAAGUUAGCCUCUGAAACUUCAUAAUAACCAAUCCAUUUAUUCUAUUCCUGUCCUCUGGCUCAGUUGCAAAUUUAUAACAUGACUGGGAGGUAUUUGGUUGAACAUUUUAUUGUUUCUAUAGAGCCCUUUGGGAAGGUCACUAUUCUCUGAAUCUGUGUGUGUGUGUGUGUGUGUGUGUGUGUGUGUGUGUCCUAAAAGUGAGUUAAAAGAUAAUCAGCCAAGGACCUUGGUAUGGUGUGUAGAGUCAACUGUCAGCUUCUAUUGACCUUGUUGUUGGUUAUGAGAUGCAGAAAUAACUGCAGAAGUCUAUAAGGUUGUUUGAUGAGCAAAAACAGCCACGGGGAGUCUGCAGAACAUAUGGCAGUUGAUGGUUUAGGAGUUGUGAGACAUCUGAUGCCAGUAGUGUGGCAUCUGUGUCCUUAUUAGAAAGAGAGACUGGGAACCUGAGGGUGGGAAUUCUUGGUAAUGUAGAUUUCCAUGAGGAUGUGGAGGAGCUGUGUGUGUGUGUGUGUGGGAAUAAUAUAAAAGGUUGAAGUAGACAACACAAGGGAAUUUGACUCAAGCCUAAUGUUCACAAUUUUCCUAAUGUUUCUAAUUAUGCCGUCUCUCUUGUUCUCUGUAGACUAACAGAUAUAGAAGGGAAACAUUGACAUGCAUCACAGGACUAAAGCUACAAUAUUCAGAACAUACAGAGACAUUACAUUCCUACGUUGAGAGGAGGAUUACUGACUCAUCCUCACAACCCUGCCUCCGUAAGAGUGAAACAGACUGAAAGACCCUGGGGAAUCAGGCAGAUAUGAGGAAGCCGGGCAGCAGCAGAGAAGUCGGGUGGGUACGGGACGACUGCGGAUAUUGGGACCAACAUUAUGGAAUCCGGGGAAAUGAUCUGGACUAGCUCCUUGUGUUUAGGAAGAGAUGUGACACACACAGCCCAGUCACACAGAGACACCUUCUCGACCGGCUCUGUAAACAUUUAAUCCAAGUGCAUAUAUUGUGGCUGGUGUAGAUAGAUGUUUUAUGUGGUGGGAGGGAUAGUGGACCCACACAGUGGCUCAAACACAAGCAGUGCUAUUCACUUUUAUGGAGUAUUUUAGGUCACCCAGUUUUCAUUUUCUUUUCAGUAUCAGAUACUGUAAAUAAUUUCAGAGAUUCAUGAAAACAACAUUCUAUAACCCAUUUGGAGAUUGUGUUGUGAUAUUUUCUAGUUGGUUGCUGCUAUUUCUUUUUAAACCAUUGCAUUUACUGUCUAAAUACAAAUUGACCUACUUUUGGUACCAAACGGAUGGGGGACCUCCUGUGGGUGUACUGGCUGGUACUGUAGCCUGACUGUACUGUAGCGAGCAUCUGUUGUGUGCGUCAUUCAUGUCUGAGAUUGUUAAGUGUUGUGUUGUGUUGUCAUUUAACCUGUGAAUCAUGCUAACAUGACAUCGUCAGUCUGUAUGGGGCUAAAGAUGCAUUGAGGAUACUACUCUUACAUUUCUUUACCCACAAAGGUCUGAACUGAUCUGAGAUCUGACGUCAUCAGAUUGUUAACAAUGCAUGCAUUAUUACUCCAGGUGCCAGCAGCUGAUCUCAGUGUUCCACAUACAGUAGCUCUUGUUGGCCAUUUUAGCAGCUGCAUCCAGAACUCGUUGUUUUUUACGAAGAGAUAAACUCUCCAACUGCAAUUUGUAAAAUGUUGUCUUUUCUAUUUGUAAAAUUCAAAAAUGAUUCCUUUUGAAAACGAAAUGUACAACUUUUAUUAUAACGGUUAAUUGGAAAGAUGAUCAGUCAAAAAGAAUCUGAACUACAUUGUUUAGCAUAGGUUUGCCUAAACAUAUUUGAAUCUAUAUUUCUCAUUAUGAUCAACUGUAUCAGUGAAUCUAGUUGGAAACCAUAACACAGGCAGCAUAUUCACACACCACAAUAUCUCCCCCAAAGCAUGAAUUAGAAGGGAAUAGAGAAUCCAUCCAAUGUCAUUUAUCUACAUGCAGUUCCUGUUCGUGAUUUAAUGAAUGUAUGAAUGUACAGCAUCUUCACCACCACGACCACAGAGGAACAGGGAAGUAGGCCAUGCUAACCAUAUGCUCACACACUUGAGAUUCAAGAGAUGUUUUAUUCUCUUCAAUACAUCAGUCCGAUUAUAUAUUCUCUACUCCACUCUACCUGGUUUGAGAUAAGAAUAUGGAAUAUACAUAAUAUUUAUAUGGAAUAUACAUAAUAUUUAUAUGGAAUAUAAAUGUAGAUUAUGAAUGCUCCCUGGCGUUCAACCAUCUACUCCGUAAUCUGUGCCAGGCCGCGUGUGAGGUUUAGAAAUGCGAUGGGUACCGAUUAAAGAGCACCCCACAGUUUCUGCUCUGCUACUACACGGCUACCACCGAAAAAUGAAUACAGCCCCUUUUCAUUGAUGUCUACAUUUCCUUUCUGUUGAGGCUCUUCCAGUUUCACCAUCAGAAUCCUCUGGCCUUUGGCUUUCACGGUGCACAGUGCAACGCAGUUCCCACUGGGCAAACACUAGUUGAAUCAACGUUGUUCCACGUCGUUGAAAUUAAUUGGACGUCUGUGCCCAGUGGGUCUGCCUUUUCAUCUGUUCUCUGCUCUAGCCAACUCCUCCACCCUUUACAGACAGUUGUACUGUAACACAAGGGUGAAUGUCACUGAGCUAAUCCUGCUUUAUUCAAUUAGGAAGACUGGGAGGGAAGAGGAUGAAAAAAGGGUAUUCAAAAGCCACACUGGGAAAGGAAAAGUUGCUACAGAAUAUCAACACAGGAGUUGAUAACCAAGCAUAGCUAGCUGUGUACAGAAUGAAUGUAGCUCUUAGGAGGAUGGAGAAAAGGUAUGGGAAAUUGUGUUAAAAAAGCAGCAUCCAUGGAACCCUGGUAUUUUUUACUGUAUUGGGGUUCCUUUAAGCAUUAAGGCAUGAGGGGGGGGCGGUAUAUUGGCCAUAUACCACAGUUACCUUAUUGCUAUUCUAAACUGGUUAUCAACAUAAUUAGAGCAGUAAAAAUAAAUGUUUUGUCAUACCCGUAGUAUACGGUCUGGUAUACCACUGCUGUCAGCCAAUCAGCAUUCAGGGCUCUAACCACCCAGUUUAUAUCAGCAUAUAGCUCAUGGAAGUCUCACUGGUAUACUGUUCAUGGUGCUGCACAUGAUUACGACGACAGGGGAAUUGAUUACUUUGGAGUCAUUUGAGGCUAAAGCAGCUGUGCUGGAGGCUUCUUAUUCUGGAUUUAUCUCCUUGUGUACAUGUGUCCAUAACACAUUUGGGAAAAGAGAAAACACAUGAGAAAACCACUGUAGAUGAUCACUUGAGAACCAAUUGAUGACUUUUUAUGCUAUUUACUACUGUAUGAGAUACUGUUCCUAAUCUUUGAUGCUCCUAACUUGUUCUGGGUCACUUUGUGUACAUACAGUACACCCUUAAACACAGUAAGAAGGAUCACAGCUGCUUUAGAGAGUCAUUCUUGUAUAUAACCCGACAUGCCCUGUAUUACUUGUCCUAUCACUGAUCUAUUUAUGAUUAAAGUAUUUUCUAUUGUCUGUGCA